rnacentral:misc_RNA from 1 species
AAGUCGUAACAAGGUUUCCGUAGGUGAACCUGCGGAAGGAUCAUUACCGAGUUAGGGUCUAUUCAGGCCCGACCUCCAACCCUGUGUUUACAUUACCAUGUUGCUUUGGCGGGCCCGCUCUUCGGGGCCGCCGGGGGUUUUUAUCACCCCUGGCCCGCUGCCCGCCCGGCUGGGCCUUAUUCAAAUUUCAUUUUUUAACCUUUGUGUAUGUCUGAAGUCUAAAUAUAAAUCGUUAAAA